GACGAACGCUGGCGGCGUGCUUAACACAUGCAAGUCGAACGGAAAGGCCCUGCUUUUGUGGGGUGCUCGAGUGGCGAACGGGUGAGUAACACGUGAGUAACCUGCCCUUGACUUUGGGAUAACUUCAGGAAACUGGGGCUAAUACCGGAUAGGAGCUCCUGCUGCAUGGUGGGGGUUGGAAAGUUUCGGCGGUUGGGGAUGAACUCGCGGCUUAUCAGCUUGUUGGUGGGGUAGUGGCUUACCAAGGCUUUGACGGGUAGCCGGCCUGAGAGGGUGACCGGCCACAAUGGGACUGAGAUACGGCCCAGACUCCUACGGGAGGCAGCAGUGGGGAAUAUUACACAAUGGGCGGAAGCCUGAUGCAGAAACGCCGCGUGCGGGAUGACGGCCUUCGGGUUGUAAACCGCUUUCGCCUGUGACGAAGCGUGAGUGACGGUAAUGGGUAAAGAAGCACCGGCUAACUACGUG
rnacentral:rRNA from 1 species